UUUUGUCAAUUCUUGAUCUCAGGUACCCAAUACUCUGAAUUGCUUUUCUGUGAUGCUUUUCUUGAACGAACUUACAGUUAGAUUUUAACCUAAAUCACUUUUGCUUAAUUGCCAAAUUUCGGUUGUGUUAGAAUUGGAUUUUCGCGCUGUAUAAUGGGUUUGGUUUGAUUUUGUAUUUUGAAAUCGGAAAUGGGCAGUGAAGCGUUGUUAGAACAAUGACUACAUUUUUUUUAUGGGUUGUUGAAUAAUAGAUAGCAAUAAUGUCAAGAAGACCGGGAAAUCCUGCUAGACGCUUAGCUGAGAGUGGAAGCCUUCCUUUUGGUGGAUCCGUUCACACGAAAUCACGUUCUUCUCCAUUACUUUCAAUUGGCCUUGUGGUUGUGGUAAUUUCUAUUGCUACUCAGCUUUUGCAUUUUCAAUGUGUGGCAUUAUUUCCCAGGAAGUGGUAUUCCUUUAUUGGACAAGCAGAUGAUUGUCUGUUUUUAAUUGCUUGCUGGGGUUCUGUUUUUAACAAAAUGGCGUUUAACUGUUUGAUUCAUUUGGUUUUUUUAAUUUCAGGGUGCAAUUCUUCUGGUUGUGUAUUGUUACAGUGGCUCAGGUUUAACCUCUUCUCUGGUUUAGGGAAUGAAACCAAAUAAAAUAAAUAAAUAAAUUCAACAUAGGCAACUGAAUAGGAUGACCUCAGUUGUCUAGUUUAAGCUAUCUUACAUUUUUUAUAUAAUACCUUCUGCACUGAAUUUAAUGAGGCUUAUGUGACAGGUGGACGUAUCAGUGAAAGAGAAGCUUUCAGCAAAGUGGAAGGUAGUGGCUCAUGCACAUUAGAAGUUCAAAAAGCAAUACCUAUUCUGAAGAAGGCUUAUGGUGACAGCAUGCUUAAAGUAUUGCACCUAGGCCCUGACACAUGUUCUGUAGUAGUGAAGUUGUUGAAAGAAGAAAAAACAGAAGCCUGGGGUGUGGAACCAUAUGACUUAGAUGAUGUUGAUGCCAACUGCAAGAAUCUUGUGCGCAAAGGCAUUGUGCGUGUGGCUGAUAUCAAGUUUCCGCUGCCUUACCAGGCAAAAUCAUUUUCUCUUGUUAUAAUUUCAGAUGCGUUGGAUUACUUGUCUCCUAGAUAUCUCAACAAAACUCUUCCUGAAUUGGCAAGGGUGUCUUCUGAUGGUGUCGUUAUAUUUUCCGGUAAUUUGCCACGAUGCUUAUGUCUGUUUGUGUUGUUAGUCUUUUGCCUAUCUGUCCUCACAGAUAAGACCCAGCCAGAAAUUAUUUAAACAAUGGGUUUGACCUUGAAGAUGUUUGCUGAUAUCCUAAAUUAGCUUGCUCAUCACGCUUACAUAUAGACGGUAAAGAGUCAACUUCUGCCACUUUGUUAACCCUCUUUUUCUUAUUUAGUCCAUAGUCUUCACUAUAUUUAUGAGAGAUCAAGAAGGUUUUUUCUAUUUUUUUUUGGUAAAUACUUCUGCUUUGACUAUGAAACUGCUUUUGCUUGAAUAAUUGAAUUAUAUAUGCCCAACAUUUUAUGCAAGGAUACCCUAAAUGUAGUUCUCUUCCUUGAAUGUCUUUUAGCUUUUUUCAAAAUUGAAUGUCAGAACAAUAAUUGUUCUUCUGGCUUGAUUACUGAUUUUUGUUUCCUUUUGCAGGCUAUCCAGGUCAGCGUAAAGUGAAGGUUGCUGAGUUAUCUAAGUUUGGCCGUCCUGUAAGUAGCCAUUGUUUGCCAAACUUUCAUUUUAUUCUGGACUCUGGAGUCAAUGUUUUGCACUUUUUAAUAGCAUUUCAUGAGACUUAUGUAUCAUUGUGGCAAUUUAUUAAUUACGUGCAGCUUGACAUUAGGCCACAUGAUUUUAGAAUGCCACUUGUAUCAAGAUUGCUUUUACCCUUGGACCUUAAAUCAGGUUGUACUGAUAAGGGGUAAACUUUGAUAAGCACAUCUUUAGAGUAAUUUCAGAGAAUUGCUGCUGCUGCUGCUGCUUCUGCUCCUCCCCCUUCUUUCCUCUUCUUCUUGUGCUAGGGGGCCUUAUCCUUAGGUUGGCUAUGAUUUGAAAAGUGUGUUUUCCUUUAUCACUGAUGCUUCCCUUCCCUUUUUAAAUGGUAUAGCUUUUAGUCAUACCAGUCUUUUUAGCUUCUUUUUAAAUGAUGUAACUUGUAGUCAUACCAGUCUUUGUUAUAUACAUAAAAGUUGUACUUUAAAAGAAUUAUUCAUGCUGUUAUGUUUUUGAAGGCCAAAUUUCGGAGCUCAACAUGGUGGAUAAGGUACUUUCUUCAGAACAGCUUAGAAGAGAAUGAAGCUGCUGCAAAGAAGUUUGAGCAGGCUUCAGUAAAAAGGUCAUAUAAGCCUUCCUGCCAAGUUUUCCAUCUCAAGUCAUAUCGAUGAGAAUCUCUACAUCAUAACAAGUCUUUGCUCUUUCUGCUUCUUGGCAAAAACCAUGCCAAUAAGCACCUUAAGCUCCCAUAGGGUAAAUUAUUUUGUUGAAAUCACAUUUGCUUUGUUCUAUCAUCAUACAGUAAAUGAUAAUUUAUUUACCUUGGAAAUGAGCAUGCUGAAUUCGAUUCUACAAUUCUUUCAUCUGUUUCAGCACCCCAACUACAAAGGUAGUUCUGUUAGUAUGUUAAAAUUCAUUCUUUAAUGAUGCUAUGGAUAAUACAUUUGCUUUAUAUGUUCCAUGAUAGAAUAUGUUGCCUUCUGCUUUUGGCCUUUAUUAUUGUGAGUAAACUGAUAAGGAAAAUUAUUGAAUACGCCUGGAGCAGUAGUUCUUUACUUAAAUAAAUAUGAAAUUCAUCUCUCAUGAUUUAUGAAGGAUUUCGCAUGUACGUAAGUGCAAAGAGCAUCAUAAUCCUGUACGCUAGAAGCACCCAAUAAUCUCCGGACGAAGAAACGAGAUAUUGUGCUGGAGAAGAAUCUUGAGAGGUGCUUGGGUUAAGUUACCAGUCAGGUCUAAAGCUUCACUUCGAGUUGAACAUUGUGCUAGUGACUGGUAUUGUUGGUGAUUUUGUUUCAGUUUUUGUCCCGGUAACUCAAAUAAGCUGCUAUUGCUGAAUGUUUAUGGGAUAAAAAAACUUAAAUAUUUGGAUGGUGAGAAUGGUGAACAACCUCUGUACACAACUUCUAUAAUUAUAUUAACAAAGCAAUUUGGAUGACA
rnacentral:misc_RNA from 1 species